AAUCCAACUGAUCUUUUGUUUGUCCUCCAAAGUCUGAGGGGCUGCAAUGCAUCUCGACAGAUCCAGAGAAUAUUUGUGACACUGGAAGAAACGAGACACACAAAUUGAAGCAUGUUUUUCUGAGAAUGGAACAUUUAUUCUCAGAUUUCCAGCCGUUUCGGUUCAAUGUACAGACGCUGCACAAGAUCAAACUGGAAACAGAAAGUAGUUCCGUCACUUUGUACGACACACAGGAGACACUGCAGGGACACAAGUGAAGGGACUCUGAACGCCCGGACAAGAACUGUUUACGUCCACAUUACACAACAGACUUCUAUCACUUAACAAUAAGAGUGAAAUAAUAACAACACAAUGCUUCAUUUCAUUUGACCGAUGAAUCGUAGCUUCACACAUCAUCGUGCAGAGAAUGUUUGACACGCUGGAAAUGUUUCUGGAAUAAAACCUCGUAUUUCAGUCAUUUUCUGUUAUUUUGAUGCUACAAGUUUUCUCAACGUUUCCUUGCUGACGACUGCAUUUAUCUUUAAAAGGGACACACAGAGCACACACUGUAAGUAACAGACAUCAUGGGACUCACAUCAACACAAGUGUUUAAUAUGUACAUGAGGCGUGAUGUAAUGUAGCUGUGGAGAGUUUACAUCUACACACAGUUACACACACACACACACUCUGAUGUUCUCAUGCUCCUCUCGUCUGAAGAACACGAGUUCUGGAAGCAAGAUCUCAGAAAAAUAUCAAAAUUGAGCAGCGCAUGAAAAACAUCUUAAAAGGUGUGUGAAAAGCUUUCCCCCUUCGUCUCAGGGACACAAGCUUUCUGCAGGAUGUCUUCAGUCACAGCAGCUGCUCAGAAACAGACUCUCUGAAUCAAUCUGAAACCCCAGUGUGUGUGUGAGUGUGUGUGUGUGUGUGUGAGUGAGUCCUGCAGCAGGUCAGUGUGUGUGUCAGUGUGUGUGUCAGUGUGUGUGUCAGUGUGUGUGUCAGUGUGUGAGCCCUGUCCACAUGGAGAUGUUUCCACAAAGGAACAUCUGGAGCUGCAGUUUCAUACAAAACAUCUCUAAAUGAAAAGGUAAAACGUGGAAGUGUCAGAGUGUGUGUCAGUGUGUGUGUCAGUGUGUGUGUCAGUGUGUCAGAGUGUGUGUCAGUGUGUGUGUCAGUGUGUGUGUCAGUGUGUGUGUCAGUGUGUCAGUGUGUGUGUCAGUGUGUCAGAGUGUGUGUCAGUGUGUGUGUCAGUGUGUGUGUCAGUGUGUGUGUCAGUGUGUCAGAGUGUGUGUCAGUGUGUGUGUCAGUGUGUCAGAGUGUGUGUCAGUGUGUGUGUCAGUGUGUGUGUCAGUGUGUG
rnacentral:lncRNA from 1 species